CUGAUUUUCCAUUUCAUUGGAUGGGGAAACUCCCCGGGCUGUCUCCAGACUCUUCCCAGUAAACAUUCUGCACUGGAAGGGAAGGUGGAAGGCAACUGGACGGUGCAGUCUGGGUGAGAGGUGCUUGCUCAGUCUACAGUGAGAGAUUAUGAAAAUAGCAUGCAAUACAUGCUUCUCUACUAAAGCAGCCACCAACUAUAAAGCCGAUUCAGAGUUAAAGAGAAGCCUCUUUGUAAAAGUCAGCCCUGAAAAAGGAAGCAUCUGGUUCAGCUGUGUGGAUAUCACUUUGGAAUUCUGCAGUUCCAGAGCUCCCCAAUCCCAUAACAGCCUGCACUGGUUGGCCCUGCCUCUCCUGCUCAGCUUGCAAAAAAUGAAACAGACCACAAAACCAAAGAAUAUUCCAGCACAUACAAAUUUAUCAUCGCCAACAGCAAUGUGACAUGAUAAUGUGGGUACCCCUAUACUGGAUAACACGAUGAUACCACAGUUAAGACUUGGAAAAAGCCUGCUCAUGCCUAAGAGAACUUCUGAAUAAUUUAUCCAUCCGUAUGACAUCUCUCUAAGGCACUAACACCUUAUGAACUUAAUUUUGCUGGUAAGAAAAAUACACUAGUUACAUUUCAGUGCUUUGCUACAGUAACUUGAAACAAGUUCCCUGAAAAAAGGAGGAGAGAAGGGGGUGAGACAGCAUCCUUUCUAAUACUUGCAUUAUGUAGGCUGUCAUGUCUUUAUAGUGUUCAUUGUUACUGAAGACCUAUGCUUGAGAUUUCCUCUGUGUGCUCCAAGACUUAAAUAUGCUUUAUCUCACUUUUGUAUUUAGGUGAUUUGAAACACCAGAAAUAUCUAAAUCUUGCAAU